GCAAUGAUGAAUUUAAUAGCAUUGAACAUGUGAAGUGAUGAUGUUUUUCUCUAAGAAGUUCUGAGCUG
rnacentral:snoRNA from 1 species